rnacentral:rRNA from 1 species
GACGAACGCUGGCUGCGUGCUUAACACAUGCAAGUCGAACGCUGAAGCCUGGUGCUUGCACCGGGUGGAUGAGUGGCGAACGGGUGAGUAACACGUGAGUAACCUGCCCCUGACUUCGGGAUAAGCCCGGGAAACUGGGUCUAAUACCGGAUACGACUGCCGGACGCAUGUCUGGUGGUGGAAAGUUUUUUCGGUUGGGGAGGGGCUCGCGGCCUAUCAGUUUGUUGGUGAGGUAAUGGCUCACCAAGACGACGACGGGUAGCCGGCCUGAGAGGGCGACCGGCCACGCUGGAACUGAGACACGGCCCAGACUCCUACCGGAGGCAGCAGCGGGGAAUAUUGCACAAUGGGGGAAACCCUGAUGCAGCGACGCAGCGUGCGGGAUGACGGCCUUCGGGUUGUAAACCGCUUUCAGCAGGGAAGAAGCGCAAGGGACGGUACCUGCAGAAGAAGUACCGGCUAACUACGUGCCAGCCGCCGCGGUAAAAC